rnacentral:lncRNA from 1 species
ACUCACGAACCUCGCUGGAUCCGGAGGUAGUGGAGGUCUCGACCUCCUCGAAGUUUGCCGCAUUGUCCGCCUCGGCAGAUUGGGAGCGAGUAAUCGGCAUCGUCACUACAACAUCAUAAAAGCGCAAGUUAGAAAUACUCACACUAUCGCAUCCCCGCUCAAAAGACAAACCCUAAAUCAUGCGAAAGUAAAGAAGUGUUCUACACUACUAACUCCCGAUGUUACGUUGUCGGCCGCCAACGUAACGCUCCGCGAGGUUAGAAGUGAAACACUCCGAUUUAACUCCACUUUCUAGAGUUAUCCAAGAUACCCAAUUCAAAUACUUUCGCUUACAAGUCAAAUAGACCUCGUCUCUCACAAGCCUAUUUCCUAUAGUCCAACCGGCCUAAGGUCUGCUAGGUCCCCUAAGACUCAACCCUAGGCUCUGAUACCAAAUUAAUCUGUCACGCCUCGGGACCGAGCGAAAGCCCGCCCGGCGCGUGCCCAGACCCGCCAUACGUCUAAAACAUAUAAGGCGUCUAAAAACAACAAUAAUAAAAGCAAUAAUAAAAGACAUCUAGGAGUAUCAGAGCAUAAUAAAUGUCAAAAUGCUACAACCCGGGAUAAGGAUAAAACUGUAAAUCCACUAAAUAAAACAUAAAGUGAUACGAGGAAAUCCCAGAUACAAGUGCUAUAGGUAGAUACAUAGGUGGUCUCUAUACAUGGAUUCCAAAAACCUCUAACUCUCUUAACUACAAAAAGAAAGAGUAAACCACCUAGGCAAAGUACCGCUCCUCGCUAGCGAGCUAAGCGAUCCCCUUGCCGCGAUCCCGUGCCUCCGCCGGUGCCGAAGGCUCUAAAAAGUAAACCAUAAAACAGGGGCAUGGGAACUAUUAAAAAUAGUUCCCAGUGGGCAAUUACUGACUUCAGUGAAUGCACCACGAUGCCCAAAGCUACAAAAGAUGUCAGUGACUAUAAAAGUAGAAAAAGCGAAAGGUAAAUAAAAAUGUAACUUACUACAACAUGAUAUCUCUACUUAGCAUAAUUAGCAUAAGUAUGAAGCAACUAUGCAUGAAGUAAAAGUCUCCAACUAUCAUAAUGUUCAUAAUGCGAAAUAGUAAAGUUCUGUUGUUUACUAUUCUAGUCAAUGUCCAAGUAGUACACUAAGUCAUCAUCUGUCCACAUGUCAUAAUGAAUACUCAAAGUCAAAUAUGAAGAGACCCACCCGAAGGCUGUCUAUGGCCCUAAGACCCACCCGUAGGCUGUCUGGCCGGUGCCGAGCUUAAUGGCCCCUUGGUAGUCAUCAUCCCCACCCUAAGAAUGAGCCUGUCCCACGGCAAUCCACUUCGGCGCCCAAUCCUAUACGGCGAAUAUGAAUCGCGAUGGCUAUCUCCGAAGUGCCGGCUUGUAUGGAGCGACCCUCACAAGCAUGUGCGAAUGAGUACAAUGGGAAGUAGGCAAAUGAUCUGUCGCAAGUACCAAGUCCUCAUGUCUAAUAACAUGGAAUGUGUCAAGUAUCUCAACGGCCUAUCCCUAUGUCAUCAUGUCUCUAACAUGGAAUGUAGCGGAUAAGUAGUGGCCUAUCAAUAUGUCUCUAUGUUGCAGUUUCAUAGUUUACUAGUUUCAAGUGCCCCUUGAUGACACUCUUGUUCUCUAUGCCAGAGUAUGGCAACUAUGUUCUAAAGUACAUAUUCCAAGUCAUAAUCCUCAUAAGUGAUGUAUUUUCCACUUGCAAAUAAACACUUUUUCCAUAUGCAUGCAUUCUACUCAUAUAGCUCUACUAUAUAGUGAAAUUUUUAAAAUACACAAGGCAUGCAUUUUAAGUGCUCUAAAAUUCAUAUAAAUUCUAUUUAGCAUAGAAAUAAAUUUAAAAAUAUUUUACAACAAAUAGAAAGAGCAUAGGGGCCAUUUCGCCCUAUUUCCACGAAGCCAAACCCACCGUCAUCAACGAAAGCUUUCGUUUGCCACGACGAAGGCGUCCAUCACACUCCUAGUACCCUAAAGGUAUGAAAACAAGUGUCAUCUAGUCGAAACGAAUGACGCUAAGUUCAAUCAUUAACCAACUCAAGUUAGGGUUGGGAAAAACUCACCUCAAGUGAAAAACCCUCUUAAUCUUCAAAUGGAAGGUAGGGGUCUUCUAAUCUAACCUAUAUAAAGGUUCCAAACCCAUCAAAAAGGUUUCAAAGCCCUCAAAUGAAAAAGCCCCAAAUCUAACCCUAGAAUCCCAAUCUAGGGUUUCAUCUAGUAAAACUUAGAAAAACAUGUAUCAAGUAGGGAUUACAUGCUACCAACCUCAAGAGGAGCUUCAAUCCAAGCCCAAAACCAAGUAGGGUUGAAGUUUGAUCCUCCACAAAGCUCCAACCGCAAGCUCGAAGCCACCAAGGUGAGAAAAUGGGGAGAAGAUGAUGCUCCAAAGCCUCCAUGUCACGCCCCGGGACCAGCAGGGGCCUUCCCGGUAGCGUGCCAAGACCUGCCAUAUGUCAACACAUAUAAGGCGUCUAUAGUAAAAGCGGAAGUAAAAGCAAGAGAUAGAACAAUAAAAAGAAGCAAAUAUAACAAGCAACUAAUGAUAUCAGAGCGAGUAAAGUUCUAUCAUCUACAUCAAAGUAAAGAAAUAAAGCUAAACAAAAAGAAACCAUAAGUAGUACAAUAUCUGUCUCUAGUACAAAAAUGGUGGUCUCUAUACACUGGCAAAACCCUCAACCUCUCGCCAAAAAGUAAAUAUCGAGAGGCAGACCACCUAGCAACUCGUCCUCGCAGGAAGCUAGCUCGAAGCAACUCCCUUCCCGCGAUCCCUGGCCUCAUCUUGCAUGGAAGGCUCUGAAAAACAUCGAGAAAAAGAGAGCGUGAGAAUUAUAAUUUAUAGUUCCCAGUGGGCAAUUACUGAGCUCAGCUCUAUGCACCACUAGGCCCCAAAAGAAAAGGGUAAGUAACGACAUAUAGUAAUAUGCAAUAAAUAGCGAACACAAAAACUGCUGAAAGAAAGUAUGAAUGAAAUGCUAUACUACCAUGUCUCCAAUAUGCAUGAUGUUAUUGUAAUAUACCGAAAAUUCGGAAAAUAAAUAUCGAACUUUGGUCAAAUAGACCAAAGUGCGAGGAUGGUACACUUCGGAAAGCCCGAAGGUGUUAAAAUGACUAAAAGUGAGUUUCGGGAGGUUUUCGAGAGCUAAAAUUGUGAAAUCUGCAUUUUGCAGGUUUUCAGCUCUCGGGGACCGGUCCCUGGUGGGAGAGACCGGUCCCCGAACGCGUAUGAAGUGAGAUCAGCGAAAAUUAGCUAAUCCUGACUACUCGGGAACCGUCCCUCCCGAGAGACCGGUCCCACACUGGAGAGACCGGUUGCACUGCGCGCAUCAGCUGUCUGGCUGCGCUGAACACGUUCGGAACCGUCCCGUGAAAAGGAGAGACCGGUCCGCAAUGGCAGCGAACUGCGCCAGUUCGGUCAUGUAUAAAGUGACAGUUGAGGGUUUAGCUGCAAUUUGCACCAAUGAGUAUAGUAUUGGUAAAUGAGACAUCUCUCUCAUUUCUCACGGCUCCUUCACACUCUUUUUGCUCUCCCUCUCUCUCUCUAGAAGACAAAGGAGAAGAAGAAGAAAAGGAAGAAAGAAGGAAAAGAAGGGAAGAAAGUGAAGAAGAAAGACAAGAGAAGAAGAAAACCUCUCUCUCCUUCUCUAAGCCCUUGGAAAAGGAGGCAAAGUUAAGAGGUAAGCUUGCCCGGCUUGCUCAUGCUAAAACUCCAAACUAGGGUUUGGUAAUUAACCUAGAAAUGGUUUUGAUGGGUGAUUAGAGUCCCUUGGAAGCUUUUCUUACUUUAAAAGAGAUCAAAACCUAGAAUUGCUUUAGAGGUGAGCUUGGACCCACCUCUAAUCGGUGAAAUCUAAUCUGAGGGUUUUAGAAAAGCCUACAGAAAUGGUUCAAUGGACUUAUUUAGAGUAUAGUGAAGCUACUUUGCUUCCCAAAGUAGAUCAAACUUAGGUUUUGAUAUAGUCAUGGAGCAAUGGCACCCAAUUGGGCUUUUGCUCAUGAGGGUUUUAAGUGCAAUUGACCCUCCAGAACCUAAUUGGGGGUAUUUCGCGACGGCGUUGGUGCGCUCGGAUUACGUUACGAAAAGUCAAAGUCAAAGUUAUUGAGCACAAAUAGGCCUAAUAAGGGUUCGUUUUGUGCUGCAGGUAAAGAACGAAGCAUCUACAAAAAUUCCAAGAAAAUCGUGGCACACUUUGAAAGCCCUACGAGGUCGGUGGCCGCUUCUCAAACUCAUUGGAACUUCUAUCUAUGCGCGCUAAUGUUCUCAUUGUGAGGCAUAUGUUACAUAUUUGUUGCAUGCAUUUAGGGUAAGUAUGAUGAAAAUGUAAUGAUUGCAUGAUUGUGAGUACAACUUGCAUAAUAUAUGAAUGAGAAACUAUGUAUUGUCAAACCCUACAGUGUAUGCAUGAGAGAAAAGUGAGCACACCAUAAGUGAAGCUAAAGAACAAGAGUGGCAGCAAUGACAUAGACGAGUGGCAUUUCGAUAAAGCUAAUGUGAAAUGAUCACUAGAGUUAGUGUGAUGUAAAGAACUAAAGUGACCGUGAAGAAUGAUGAAAUUGACAAUUGUAAAGUUAAAGUAAAGUGGGCAAUAAGAAACAAGAAUGCUAAGUUAGCAAGAGUAAAGGAAAUUAAAAGAAUGUGAGUGCAUGAGUUUGCAACGUAAAGUGAUGUAAAGAACACUAGAGUCUAGUUAAAGUCAAGAUUAACUUAUAAAUCCUGAGUUAAGGAUAAUGUAUCAUCCUUGGCUAUGAGUUCCGUGCUCGAGGCAGUCGCUCCUCCCUCGGCGAUGCGCUCCGGAGUUAUGCAUCAGGGUUGGAGUAAACCCGAAGGACGGUCCGUAGCUGGUGAGUCCUGCGAUGAUGGACUUAAUGUGAAACACAGUCAGUGUGGCGAAAACCCCCGGUUAGCCUUGAGAUUAAAGACAAAGAACCAAGAGCAAAAGAAUAAAGAACAAGCACAAAGUAAAAGUCAAGAAGAACAAAUAGAAUUUGCAUAACCUGCAUUAUUUAAAUGUGUAGCAUAACAUUCUUGCUAUUCGUAGGGCAUAUUAACAUCAUGUUAUAGACAUUGUUAGCUAUAUCUACUUAUCCUUUCUAUUAUGCCUGAGUUAGGUCGUAAGUGGAAAGUCGGUGAUGUGUUGAGGCCCGAACCGACUGGAACUUUGUUGUAGUUUCCUCACCCCACUAAAUUUCACAGAGCCGGGACCGGAGCGAGCCGGCGAGCGACCGAGGUAAAGGUAUCGCGCCUUAGUCAGAGGCCACCAAAGUUGGAUUUCGUUUUGUAGUAAAGUACCCUAUGAUCAUCUUUUGUAUUUGAUGAUUCUGAAUGUUAAUGUAUAAGACAAAGAAAAGGAUGUAAUGUGUAUUUUGAGGUAAAAGUGAUGUAAGAAAGAAAUGAUGGAGUGAUGUAAUGAAAUGCAAAGAAUCCAAAAUGUAAGUUAUGAAAGCAUGUAUAUGAUCAAAAAUGAAUCAUAGUACAAGUGAAUGUUUAGUUUCCUUUUUCUUUCACUAAUGGCUAUUGCUUACCCUCGUGUAAGCCGUUUAUGUAUGUUUCCGCUAGUGCUUUUCUCUAUUGAUGAAAAUGUGCAUGUGAUGAGCCUUGGGCGGAUAGGGGAAACUCUGUCCGUUCGGCGUCUGUUUGACGUGCUCGGGUCGGGCCAAAUUGGUAUCGGUCCCGGGGCGUGACAGUUAUGGUGAUGUACAUCUACGCUAUCAUAAGGUAACAUAUCCAAUGCAUACCAAUAUGCCUCCACAUAAUGAACAAGUAAACCUCACAAUUCCAUAAGCCAAAAUAUAAGGAGUACGCUCUAUCAAGUAACCCAGUAUACUAUGAUGCAAUGCAUGAAACCGGCAAGUGUACUAUAUACCCCAUUGCUAUGUCAUGAGUAUGUCACCUAAUCCAACUACUAAGCCUAUCUAGUAGCGAUUAUUCAGUCUCAACACCGUAUCGAUUUCCAUUUCCAAUCAAGGACCUACCAAAGGUAGUCCAGCUUGUGCCGCCUAAGUGCCUGUGGUAGCCCAACAUCCCUACUCUUGGAAUGUGUCUGUCCCACUCGACCCCGUAGGCUUCUCAAUACCGCACGAGCGAACAUAGGUCGCGUAGGCUAACUCCGGAGUGCCGGCUUGUAGGGAGCGACCCUCACAAGCAUGUGCGAAUGAGCACAAUUGGCAAGCAAGCAUAGUCAACGUCUCAAAUACCCAAUCAUCAUGUCUCUAACAUGGCAAUAUUCACUAGCAUCUCGAAGAUCUAGUUCUAGGUCACAAUGUGAAAUUCUAAUAUUCACUAAGUCUAGUGCCCCUUUAUGACACUUAGACAUUUCGAUGAACAAGCACACUCCAACUCUCUCAAUGGCACUAUCUACUAAAUUCACACAUAACCCGAGCUCAAUGCCCCUUUAUGACAUUAGCCCAAUUGUACACAAGUAGUGCAAAUCCCCGAGCCCCUUUAUGGCUCACUAGGAACUUUUGAAUCUUAAAUAGAAAUAACUUUAAAUGCAUGCACGAGAUGCUCGUUUUCACCAUAGGAAUUAUGAUUCCAAGUCUCAAUAGGAUGCUAAACCUGUUCAAGUUCCACAUGCUAGCUCUCUACUACAUAGAGGUCCGAAAUUUUCACCACAUGUAACGUAGGCAAAUUAAGCCUUCUAAAAAUCAUAAUAAAUGUAUCUAGCAUGGAAAUGCAUGAAUAAACAUUUAACAGUACUCAAAUCAACACCAAUGAGAUUUUCUCAUUGUGUGGCUAGGCCAAACCCACCGAACCGUCGCGUGCUCCUUCGAUUCGCCGAACGGAGUUGUCCACGAGUCUCAAAGUACCCUAAAAGUGAUCAGCGAAGAGAUACGAGGGCAUUACGACCAACCAUAAGAUCAAACAUUAACCUAGAAGCAAAAAGGGCCAAAACUCACCUCAAGAGAAGAAAUCUCUUCCAAAGCUCCAAAAGAGAGCUAGAACCCUUCCAAUCCAAGCCCAAGGAAGGUUCUAAACCAAUUAAUCUAGCCUCAAAAGCCCUAGAUCAAAAAGCCCCAAAAUAAGCCUUUAAUCUCCAUUCUAAGGUUCCAUCUACAAAAACUUUCAAAAUAAGAUCUAGAGGAGGGAAAUGAGCAACGAACCUCCUUAGAAGCUCCAAUCCUGGCUCCAAGGGUGAAGAUCUCCUCCUAUGCAAGCUCCAAGACCAAGCCUUCAAGCACCAACAAGGUGGGAAGAGGAAGAAAGGCAAAAGAAUGCUCCAAGCCCAAGCUAGAUCCUCCUCUUCUUCUCCUCCUUCCUCUCCUUCUCCUUCUUCUUCUUCUUCUUCUCUAUCAAGGGUGUAGAAAGGGUUGAGAGAAGAGAAAUGGGGAGAGGAGAGAGUGGAUGGGUCAUAUAAAACCCUCUAAUGUAACAAAAUCCCAAGAGGCCCCUCAAAAAAAUAGUAUUACAUCAGCCCGGUCUGGGCAGUUUUCGUCCAGAGGGACCGGUCUCUCCCCAGCAGGGACCGGUCUCUCGCUGCGAAUCUAAAAAACCAGCAUUCGGGAACCGGUCUCUCCCUGCGAAGACGCGCUCGGGGACCGGUCUCGCCUGCCAGGGACCGGUUGGCUCAGGGUUGCCGCAGCACUGCUCACUGGGGGACCGGUCUCUCCUUCCAGGGACCGGUCCCCGAGAGUAAAAACUCUCAGGACUGUCCAGAAUCCCAGUUUCGAACUUUUUAGGUCGACAAGCAUUCUACAACCCUCCACCAAGUGUGAAAAAGCUCGAAAUACAUCCAAACACUCGAACCUCGCAAUUUGCAAAGGUUCAGUGUGUUACAUUCACCCCUCCUAAAAAGGAGUUUCGUCCGCGAAACUCGUGAUGACAAGUACCUCAAGCCUCCAUCUGAAAAAGAUGCGGAUAGCGCUCCCUCAGUGCGCUUUCCAGCUCCCAAGUGGCCUCGCGCUCGUCGUGGUUGCUCCAAAGCACCUUCACGUAGGGAAUCUCACGGUUCCGUAAUCUCUUUACUUCGCGAGCCAAAAUCCGCAAAGGUUGCUCCUGAAAGCUCAAGUCCUCCCUCAGCUCCAAAGGCGUAGGGUCCAAAACAUGAGCCGGGUCGUGGAUGUACUUCCGAAGGACCGAUACAUGGAACACAUUGUGUACACCCGAUAGGUUCGGCGGUAGAGCGAGUCGCUACGCUACCGGGCCUACACGCUCCAAAACCUCAAACGGUCCAAUGAAUCGGGGGCUCAACUUACCCCGGAUUCCAAAUCGUCUAAUCCCUCGAGUCGGCGAGACUUUCAAAAAGACAUGAUCUCCAAUCUGAAACUCCAAGUCUCGUCGACGCCGAUCAGUAUAACUUUUCUGCCUACUCUGGGCCGUCAAAAGUCGCUCUCGAGCAAUACGAACCUUAUCCUCUUCUUCCUGGAACACAUCAGGGCCUAAAGCCAAUCUCUCGCCAACUUCACUCCAAUGAAGUAGCGAUCUACACUUCCGUCCAUAUAGUGCCUCGAACGGUGCCAUCUUGAUGCUUGCUUGAUAACUGUUGUUAUAAGCAAACUCUGCCAUCAGUAGAUGCUGCGACCAUCCUCCCUGGAAGUCAAUCACGCAAGUUCGAAGCAUGUCCUCGAGAAUCUGUAUAGUACGCUCCGACUGCCCAUCACUCUAGGGGUGGAAAGUAGUGCUGAAAUCUAAGCGCGUACCCAAAGCAUCCUGUAAGCUCUUCCAAAAGUGAGAUACAAAACAGGGGUCUCGAUCUGAAACGAUAGAAGUAGGUACCCCGUGCAAUUGCACAAUCUCAUCCAAGUAUACCUGUGCGAGUCUCUCACCAGUCCAAGUGGUGUGGAUAGGUAUGAAAUGUGCCGAUUUCGUCAAUCUAUCCACGAUCACCCAAAUAGCAUCGUGCCCGGCCUGUGAGCGAGGCAGUCCCAUCACGAAAUCCAUGGUGAUCUUUUUCCACUUCCACACUGGAAUCGGUAGGCUCUGCAGCUUCCCCGCAGGAACUCGGUGCUCAGCCUUCACCUGUUGGCAAGUUAAACAUCUAGCCACAAACUCACCAACAUCCUUUUUCAUCCCAGGCCACCAGUAAAGCAACUUCAAGUCCUUGUACAUCUUGGUGCCUUCCGGAUGUAUAGCAUACGGUGCUCGGUGUGCUUCUUGAAGAAUGUCCUCUUUAAUGCCCAAGUCCGCCGGUACACAAAGUCGUCCGCGGAAACGCAUCAAUCCAUCACCAUCUAAAGUGAAGUCACCGGUGCAACCAUCGACCAUCUUAGCUCGAAUCUUUUGUAACUAUGAGUCGGAAGCUUGCUUUUCUUCAAUCCUCUCUAACAGUGUAGGUUGCACCACCAAAGUCAUCAGUCUCAAAGGUGUAUCAGGAGCCACCACCUCCAACUCCAACCGCUUCAUCUGCUCGAUCAACGGCGGUUGAGUAACCACAAGCAUCGCUAAGUUUUUCAUCAUUUUCCGGCUUAGCGCAUCCGCCACCACGUUAGCCUUGCCCGGGUGGUAAAGUAUCGUCAAAUCAUAAUCCUUGAGUAGCUCCAGCCAUCUGCGCUGCCUCAAGUUCAACUCCUUCUGAGUGAAGAGAUACUUUAAGCUUUUGUGAUCCGUAUAUACUUCGCAUCGUUUGCCAUAGAGGUAAUGGCGCCAUAGCUUCAAUGCAAAGACUACAGCCGCCAACUCCAAGUCGUGAGUAGGGUAAUUCCUUUCAUAAUCCUUCAAUUGGCGAGAUGCAUACGCGAUGAGUUUCCCGUCCUGCAUCAAAACACAGCCCAAUCCAUUAAGGGAAGCAUCACUAUAAAUCACAUACCCUGCUUCAGCAGUCGGCAAGGUAAGGAUUGGGGCGGUCGUCAACCUCUGCUUCAACUCUUGGAAGCUCCUUUCACACGCGUCGUUCCAAAAGAACUUAGUUCCCUUAUGCGUGAGCCUCGUGAGGGGAGUAGAUAAUUUAGCAAAUCCCUCGACAAACCGUCGGUAGUAGCCGGCCAAACCAAUGAAGCUCCGUAUCUCUGUCAGACUCGUUGGCCUCGGCCAAUCCUUGAUAGCUUCAAUUUUCCUUGGAUCUAUAGCUAUGCCUGAUCCUGAAAUCAAAUGGCCCAAAAACGCCACCUCUCUAAGCCAAAAUUCACACUUUUUCAAUUUGGCAUAGAGCUUCUUUUCCCGAAGCACUUGAAGUACAAGUCUCAAGUGUUCCUCGUGAUCCGCAUCACUUCGGGAAUAGACCAAAAUGUCGUCGAUGAACACCACGACAAAUCUAUCUAGGUAAGCUUGAAAACACGGUUCAUUAAAUCCAUAAAAGCUGCCGGGGCAUUAGUAAGCCCAAACGGCAUAACAGUGAACUCAUAGUGUCCAUACCGUGUUCUAAAAGCCGUUUUCGACACAUCCUCAGGUCUGAUCCUCAACUGGUGAUAUCCCGACUGCAAGUCAAUCUUGGAAUAUACACAAGAUCCCUGGAGCUGAUCAAAUAGAUCGUCAAUCCUCGGUAAUGGAUACUUAUUCUUAAUCAUGACUUUGUUAAGUUCACGAUAAUCCACGCACAAGCGAAGUGAUCCAUCCUUCUUCUUCACAAACAGAACCGGUGCUCCCCAAGGUGACACACUCGAUCUCACGAAACCCUUGUCCAGAAGAUCCUGCAACUGUGCCUUCAGCUCUUUCAAUUCUGCUGGUGCCAUCCUAUAGGGUGCCUUUGAGAUCGGAGUAGUCCCGGGAACGAGAUCUACCACAAACUCAAUCUCCCUAUCAGGUGGCAUGCCUGGAAGCUCCGUUGGAAACACAUCUCCAAAUUCCCGCACUACGGGGAUAUCCUCAAUCCUAGGGGUGUCAUCCACACCCCGCAACACAACAGUAGCCAAGUAGGCUACGCAGCCUCUACUAAUCAACUGCCGAGCUCGAGAAGAGCUAAUCGUCAUCGCAAAAAGCGAACUCUGGCAUCCUCGGUACACAACCUCCGCCUGCCCUGGCUCUCUAAAAGUCACCGUUCGAUCCUUACAAUCGAUAGUGGCGAAAUACUUAGUCAACCAAUCCAUGCCCAACACAACAUCAAACUACCCAAGUUUAUGCAAGGCUAGCAAAUCUAUAGGCAUGAUCCAAUCUCAAACCCGAAUGGGGCAACUAGGGCAAAACUCUCGAAUAUCCAAAGAGUGAUCGGGUACAGUAACUCGUCCCGGAUGCAACAAAGAUACUAGUGGGAUGCCAUGCAACUCGGCAAAUAGCCGGUCUAUGAAUGAAUGCGAUGCACCGGUAUAAAACAAAGCUCUAGCUCGAAUACCAUAAAGUAAGAUAAUACCUGCAACCACAUUCUCGGCUGCUGCCGCCUCCUCAGUCUGGGCCGCAUACAUGCGCCUGCUCGGGGCCUGUCGUGACCUCUCCACCUGCCGCUGAACUGGCGACCGCCCUGCCUGGUAAUGCGCAGAAGAUGUCCCCUGACUGGGACCUGACGAUACUGGUGCUGAUGCCGAAGAUGGCGCUGGCGCUGAACCUCUCGGGCAGUCCGAUUGGAAGUGGCCCGACUGCGUGAACACUGCCGCGGGUAGUGAGGACCGCCACAGAUCACGCAGCGGGGAGCCUGGCGACGAUCGGUUCCUCCUCGCUGAGUAGACUGGCCACGUCCUCGCGACUGGCUCCGACUCCUGGGGUGCCUCGGCGGCCUCCGUGAGUGCGUCUGGCUCGCACCCUCAGCCGCGGGUCUCUUUCCCUUGCCCUUAUCUAGGGCCUCGCGUCGCUCCUGAAGAUCUGCCGCUCCAGCCUCUACAAUGAGUGCACGGUCCACAACCUCCCGGUAGGUUUGGAGGUUGGAGGACUGCACCAAUCGAAAGAUCGAAGGCUGUAAUCCAUGCUCAAAGAUGCGGGCCUUGUCCUCGUCGUCCCGGACCACAAAAGGUACACAGUGGAGUAGCCGAGAAAACUCUCUUUCGUACUUGGCCACUGAUUGCUCGUCCUGCCGCAAAUUGCACAAAUCCUGCUCCAUCUUCCUCUUGGCGCUGGUCGGAAAGUAGUGCGCCAGAAGGAGCUCCUUGAACCUCGUCGAAGUAAUCGAUGUCAAGUCGCUCCUGGGGUUGUCCUGGAUAUCCAACCACCAACGGUAGGCCUCGCCGUCCAAGAAGUGAGUGGCGAGCCAAACUAUGUCCCGCUCCUCUACAAAGGUGUCUCGAAAAAGUUUCUCCAUAUGCAUCAACCACUUCUCAACAAUCCAGUGGUCGACGUUCUCGCCAUCAAACGUCCUCGGGUUGCACCUCCUGAACUCACUGAGGCGAUCCAUGAGCCGAUCCCGCUCGGCUCCCUUGGCCAUCACGGGGAAUGCCGCCUCUGUCGCCGGUCUCUGAACUGGUAGUGCUGCAGCCACCUCCUCCCGAGGUGCGGUCGCCGGUACCGCACGUGAAGAACUGGGCGCGGGGGACUGCGCCCUCGGUGCGACGUCCACCACGGGUGCUGGCGGUGUAGGACCCUGUGUCUCCCUCGAGGCUGCCGCCUGCUGAAGUAGGAGGUCCUCAAGAUGCUUCAUCCGCGCCUCCUGCCGCUGAGCCACCUCAGCCUGUCGCUGCGCCGCUGCCGUCUGCUGCGCCAACAAAUCAGUGAGGACCGCAAGCUGGGCCCUCAGGUCACGGACCUCACUAGAUCCGGAAGUAGCAGAGGUCUCGACCUCCUCGGGGUGUGCCGCAUCAUACGCCACGGCAGACUGGGAGCGAGUAAUCGGCAUCGUCGCUACAGAACAUAAAAGUGCAAGUUAGUAACCCGCACUAUCGAAUCCCCGCUCAAAUCGAUAAAACCCAAAUCAUGCGAAAGUCAAGAAGUGUCCUUCACUACUAACUCCCGAUGUUACGUUGUCGGCCGCCAACGUAACCCUCCUCGAAGUUAGAAGCCAUACACUCCGAUCAAACUCUAACCUUUUAGAGUUAUCAUAAACCCAAUCACAAUACUUUCACUCACAAGUCAUUAGUCCUCGUCUCUCACGAGCCUAAUUCCUAUAGUCCAACCGGCCUAAGGUUUGCUAGGUCCACUAAGACUCAACCCUAGGCUCUGAUACCAAAUUAAUCUGUCACGCCCCGGGACCGGCGGAGGCCCUCCCGGUAGCGUGCCCAGACCCGCCAUAUGUCUACACAUAUAAGGCGUCUACAACAAAAGCGGAAGUAAAGCAAGAGAUAGAACAAAUAAAAGAAGUGAAAUAACUAGCAACUAAUGAUAUCAGAGCAAGUAAAGUUCUAUCAUCUACACCAAAGUAAAGAAAUAAAGCUAGUCAAUAAAAGAAACCAUAAGUAGUACAAUAUCUAUCUCUAGUACAAAAAUGGUGGUCUCUAUACACUGGCAAAACCCUCAACCUCUCGCCAAAAAAAAUAAAUAUCGAGAGGUAGACCACCUAGCAACUCGUCCUCGAAGGAAGCUAGCUCGAAGCAACUCCCUUCC